UAGGAAGGGUGUGUCCACGGGUGUCUUGAGGCCAGUGUCUGAUGGAAGUCGAUGGCAGAUACAAAGACUGCACAAGCUCAGCUGAUCCCCGGGACAGCGUGGCGCAGUGGAAGAGUGGCCGUGCGCAACCCGAGGGUCCCUGGUUCAAUCCCCACCUAGUACCAACAUCAUCACGUCCGUUGUGUCCUGAGCAAGACACUUCACCCUUGCUCCUGAUGGGUGCUGGUUAGCGCCUUGCAUAGCAGCUCCCUCCAUCAGUGUGUGAAUGGGUGAAUGUGGAAGUAGUGUCAAAGCGCUUUGAGUACCUUGAAGGUAGAAAAGUGCUAUACAAGUACAACCCAUUUAUCAUUUAACCCAUUUAUGACUAUUGUAUAUUGUCACUGAAGGCAUCAACACUAUGAAUGAACACAUGUGGAGUUAUGUACUUAGCAAAAAAAAAGGAUAUAUAAUUGAAAACAUGUUUUUUUAAACAAGUUUUUUCAAAAUAGCCACUCUUGCUCUGAUUACUGCUUUGCACACUCAUGGCAUUCUCUCGAUGAGGUUCAAGCACACCUGUAAAGUGAAAAUCAUUUCAGGUUACUACCCCUUGAAGCUCAUCGGGAGAAUGCCAAGUGUGCGAAAAAGUAAUCAGAGCAAAGUUGAAAAACUUAUUCGGGUGUUACCAUUCAGUGGUCAAUUGUACGGAAUAUGUACCGUACUGUGCAAUCUACUAAUACAAGUAUCAAUCAAUAAAAAAAAAAAACAAUGAGCGAGUUGCAAUGGAAACAAGGGUCUGCCUAUGAAGAAGUUUUAUAACAGAGCAGUGGGUGGAAGUUGGUUGAGUGGAUAAUAACAACGUGACCUGCAUUCCACUGACAAUUAUGAGCUGACCUGAUCAAAAAAGUGGAAAAGUAGAAACUCAAGAUGGAGGAUUGGCGACAAUCAACAUGUUUCUUUCCCAAGUGGAAGUGCUCUUACCUGCGAUGUCCCACAGCUGCAGGCGGACCAGCGUCUUGCUGUCCCAGUUGAUGACUUUGAGGGCGAAGUCGACGCCGAUGGUGGCGCGGUAGUGCUGGGAGAAGAGCUGGUGCACGUAGCGCUUGAUGAUGCUGGUCUUGCCCACGCCCAGCUCGCCGAUCACCAGCACCUUGAACAAAAACUCCUUGCACUCCGACACCGAACCUCCGCCCAUGACGGCGACCUCAAAAACAACUUUUGGCGCUGCGUUGGCUGACUUGUUCAGACUAGCCGACUAACAUGGGGCGUGAGGACAGAAGAGGCUUUUCCCACCAAAAUAA